rnacentral:rRNA from 1 species
AGCGGCGGACGGGUGAGUAAUGCUUAGGAAUUUGCCCAGUCGAGGGGGACAACAGUUGGAAACGACUGCUAAUACCGUAUACGCCCUACGGGGGAAAGCAGGGGCUCUUCGGACCUUGCGCGAUUGGAUAAGCCUAAGUGAGAUUAGCUAGUUGGUGAGGUAAUGGCUCACCAAGGCGACGAUCUCUAGCUGGUUUGAGAGGAUGAUCAGCCACACUGGGACUGAGACACGGCCCAGACUCCUACGGGAGGCAGCAGUGGGGAAUAUUGCACAAUGGGCGAAAGCCUGAUGCAGCCAUGCCGCGUGUGUGAAGAAGGCCUUCGGGUUGUAAAGCACUUUCAGCGAGGAGGAAAGGUUGGCGGUUAAUACCCGUCAGCUGUGACGUUACUCGCAGAAGAAGCACCGGCUAACUCCGUGCCAGCAGCCGCGGUAAUACGGAGGGUGCGAGCGUUAAUCGGAAUUACUGGGCGUAAAGCGCAUGCAGGCGGCCAAGUCAGUCAGAUGUGAAAGCCCCGGGCUUAACCUGGGAAUUGCAUUUGAUACUGCUUGG